UACGUAGGGGUGCAAGCGUUUGUCCGGAAUUAUUGGGCGUAAAGGAGCUAGCGUAGGCGGGUUCGUCACGUCGGCUGUGAAAAUCCCGAGGCUCAACCCUCGGGGUCUGCAGUUCGAAUACGGGCGGACUUGAGUACUGCAGGGGAGACUGGAAUUCCUGGUGUAGCGGUAGAAAUGCGCAGAUAUCAGGAGGAACACCGGUGGCGAAGGCGGGUCUCUGGGCAGUAACUGACGCUGAGGAGCGAAAGCGUGGGGGAGCGAACAGG
rnacentral:rRNA from 1 species